AUAAUAGGCCUUCUGAGUCAGCAUCAUCAGAAACAAGAAUUGUCACUCUUCACAGAAGACUGACUCCAGGUUCUGACCUUCUGGAGCUCUCUCACAUCCAUGGCUUUUGCCCAGUCAAGUGACGGGCAUGAACCCCUUCAGUGCUUUGCCUUCUUGCCAACCUGGCUGAUUGCAUUCUGCUCAGUAAAGGGGAUAGUGGCAAGGUGACAACACACAGUAUCCCACAAGAGUUGGGUUAAGAGAAACUAGCAGAAACCUCAUUCUAGGAGUUCCUGUUGUGGCUCAGUGGUUAAUGAAUCCAACUAGAAACCAUGAGGUUGCGGGUUCGAUCCCUGGCCUUGCUCAGUGGGUUAAGGAUCCAGCGUUGCCAUGAGCUGUGGUGUAGGUCCCAGACGCCGCUCGAAUCCCGCAUUGCUGUGGCUCUGGUGUAGGCCGGCAGCUACAGCUCCCAUUAGACCCCUAGCCUGGGAACCUCCAUGUGCCUCGGGAGCAGCCCUAGAAAAGGCAAAAAGAAAAGAAAAGAAACCUCAUUCUAUUUUUGUGAAAAUUUUAUUUAACUUGAAGAAGAGUGAGUUAAGGUAAAGGGCAUGAAGAGACCAUUCAAAAAAUAUAUAUCUGAAAGAGCAAAAACAAAAAUAUUUCCAACCCUUCUAGUAAUCAAAGAAAUGUAAUUAAGAUCUCAUGUUUCUUCUAUCUUGGCAGAGUUUUUUUUUUAAUUGACAAAAUCUAGUAGUGGCAAAAGUAAGGAAAUCACACUCUUAACACUGUUAUUCAAAGUAUACAAUCUUUUUGGAAUAAUAUUAGACAAUAUGCAUCAAUAUUUGAAAUGCAUAUGCUUUUGACAUAGCAGUGUGACUUUAGAAAUGUAUUUCAAGGAGUUCCCAUUGUGGCUCAGCAGAAACAAAUCUGAUCAGUAUCCAUGAGGAUGCAGAUUCGGUCCCUGGCCUCACUCAGUGGGUUAAGGAUCCAGCAUUGCCGUGAGCUGUGGUGUAGGUCAAAGAUGUGGCUCAGAUCUGGCAUUGCUGUGGCUGUGGUAUAGGCCAGUGGCUACAGCUCCAAUUCACCCCUAGCCUGGGAACCUCCAUGAAGAUACAGUUGGACAAAUAAAAAUGUGUGUUCAAAGAGGUUCAAAAUGGCUCAUAAUAAAAAAUUGGAAACCAAAUUAUGUAACAGAUUGAAUAGUUGGUCUCAAUUCUUCACCCCAGUCUGCACAUGUCUUUAUCCUAAUCAAAGUCUAUUUCUCCAUCCCUUGAUUUUGGAGUAGGCAUGUAGUGUGCUUUGGUCAAUAGUAUGUGGGCAGAAGUGAUAUGAAGCAUGAACUUUAAGACUGUUGCUGCUCUCCCUCCUGUGUUUUUGUAUUCUCCAUAGCUUGCCUCAUUUGGCUCUUUGGCCCUGGAAGGAGCGUGAGAGACAUAUGAAGAGUCAUCCUUGCCAUCUCUAGAUAGAACAGUUAUAAACUGAAGCAGAAUUGCCCAGCUGAGGCCAGGCUAGGCAGCUAAAUUCCAGCCAACCUGCAGACAUGUGACAUUAUAGACACACACACACACUAUAUAUGCAAUGUAUAUAAAAUGUGUAUAAUUUAUAUAGAAUAUAUACAAUAUUUCUUAAAAUUGUUCUAAACCACUGAGUUUGGGAUGAUUUGUUAUGCAACAGUAGUUAACCAAUACAGUCCAUCAAUAGAACAUGUUAUAUGUUAAACCAUACUAUGCAGCUGUUGUAAAUGGAGAUUUGAUCUAUAAUUACUGAUAUGAAAAGAUGACUAUUCGAUAUUGUUGAAUGAAAGAAAUCAGAUUUUAGAGCACUGUCUAAGUACAAUUGCCCACACAAAUGUACCCACACAGAAGAAAGGAUGUUUUGCAGUGGUUAUUUCGAGGGGCAGCGGGGGGCAGGAUUAGGAAUUUUUUUCUUUUCUUUGUAUAUCGUUUGAUUUUAUUCUUCAAAGAGCAUCCACCUUUUUUUAUAAUUGCAAGUAGAGCCAUGACAAUGAUUAUCAUAUGUACUGAGAGAACAAAUAGAUGAGCCCUUUGAGAAUAAAGAGAAAUGGAGUUAGGAAAAGAGGAGCCCAGAAUACACAUAGCCUUGAAAGGUGGAUAGAGUUCAGAUGUGAUGUACAAAGAACUAGAAGUAGGCAUAAUUAUAGUUAGCACUGAUUAAUGCUUACACUGAGUGCACUGGUAAGAGUAUUAGCCCAUUUUGUCCUCAUGGCAACCUGAUGAGUUCAGAGUCUUAACGUUCCUUACUUUACAGAAAAAGAAACUGAGAUUCAGAGAAGAAAUAUUGCUGUGGAUCACACAGCCUGGAUAUGAACCCAAGUCCAUGUCCAGAGCUUAUCUUCUCUCCACAUGCUUGUUCUCAUUGCACGGCGUGGGAGCAGGAGUGACAAGGAAGCACCAGGUAUGGAAUCCAAAUACCUGAGCUCUUGAGAGCUAGAGGAACUGUGGAUAAAGGAUAAAUGGAGAGCCUUAGAGCACAGAAGACAGGUCACAGAAUCAGAGGCCAAAUCCUGCCGCUCCACUAAGGAGCUGAGUAACUGCACACCCGUUACAUAGAUCCCAGCAGCCCUGGCUUUAUCAUUCCAUGAAAACAGAAUAAAUAAUAAAGCACCUUCUUCACAUUCAUAGGAAUCAUUUCAGUGCCUGGCAUGUAAGACACCAAGAAAUGAUUGCUAAUAUUUAAUAAGUAAAGGCACUUUGGAAACUGUGAAAAUGCUGAUCAGUUACUAAUAGUUGAGAUCUGUAAUUUGAGUGGACACAACAGUUAAAGGAAAUUGAUCAAGUAGACUGAGGCGAGAUUGGAGUCAGUUGAGAGACUGUUUUGCCUUGCCUGUGAAUGUCCUGAUGAGCUCAGUUAAGGGCUGGCAGUGGGGAUGCUGGUCAGGCAGGGGAGACAGUCCAGUGGAAGAAUCCACAAGAUUUGGCAACUGGCCCGUACCUAGAGAUGAAUGAAUGUGACAAGUUUCCAAGUUUUCAAUUCUGGAAAAAUCGUGAUGAUUUUGAUAGAGAAAGCUUCAUUAUUGAUUUGUGGGACAUGUGUAGUAAAAUCAGGAAGAAGCUCUCUAUGAAGGGUUUGUUCAUUCAUUCACAAAUAUGUAUGGAGUGCUUGCCAUAUGCCUGGCCCUGCAGUCUACUUCAGCCGAUUGUGGUGUGUAGUCAGGGAGAGGAGGACAAAUAUUAAAUGAGCGCACAAAUAAAUGUAAAAUAUGCUGUGAUAAAGGGGGUAGUGGAAGCAUAGGACUGGAAAAUGUGUACAACCACUAUGGAAAACAGUAUAGAGUUUCCUCAGAAAACUAAAAAUAGAAUAUAUGAUCCAGGAAUCCCACUCCUGGGUAUAGAUCCUGACAAAACCGUAAUUCAAACAGAUACAUGCAGGAGUUCCCAUUGUGGUUCAGAGGAUCAAGAACCCAACUAGUAUCCAUGAAGAUUCAGGUUCAAUCCCUAGCCUCAUUCAGUGGGUUAAGGAUCCUGCAUUGUCGCAAGAUGCAGCAUAGAUUACAGAGGCAGCUAAGGUCCAGUAUGCUGUAGCUGUGGUGUAGGCUGGCAGCUGCAGCUCCCAUUCAACCUCUAGCCCAGGAACUUCCAUAUG
rnacentral:lncRNA from 1 species